rnacentral:rRNA from 1 species
UACGUAGGGUGCAAGCGUUGUCCGGAAUUAUUGGGCGUAAAGAGCUCGUAGGCGGUUCGUCGCGUCGGCUGUGAAAUCCCGGAGCUCAACUCCGGGUCUGCAGUCGAUACGGGCGGACUUGAGUUCGGCAGGGGAGACUGGAAUUCCUGGUGUAGCGGUGAAAUGCGCAGAUAUCAGGAGGAACACCGGUGGCGAAGGCGGGUCUCUGGGCCUUACCUGACGCUGAGGAGCGAAAGCGUGGGGAGCGAACAGG